GAUGAACGCUAGCUACAGGCUUAACACAUGCAAGUCGAGGGGUAGCAGGGUAGCAAUACCGCUGACGACCGGCGCACGGGUGAGUAACACGUAUCCAACCUUCCCAUAACUCGGGGAUAGCCUUUCGAAAGAAAGAUUAAUACCCGAUAGUACUUUUUCAAGGCAUCUUGAGAAAGUUAAAGAUUUAUUGGUUAUGGAUGGGGAUGCGUUCCAUUAGAUAGUUGGUGAGGUAACGGCUCACCAAGUCUUCGAUGGAUAGGGGUUCUGAGAGGAAGGUCCCCCGCAUUGGUACUGAGACACGGACCAAACUCCUACGGGAGGCAGCAGUGAGGAAUAUUGGUCAAUGGGCGAGAGCCUGAACCAGCUAAGUAGCGUGAAGGAUGAAGGUCCUAUGGAUUGUAAACUUCUUUUAUAGUAGAAUAAAGUGAUCCACGUGUGGAUUUUUGUAUGUAUACUAUGAAUAAGGAUCGGCUAACUCCGUGCCAGCAGCCGCGGUAAAAC
rnacentral:rRNA from 1 species